CCUACGGGUGGCAGCAGUGAGGAAUCUUGGUCAAUGGCCGGAAGGCUGAACCAGCCAAGCCGCGUGAAGGACGAAGGUGCCAAGCAUUGUAAACUUCUUUUGUCAAGGGACAAAAUCAGGCUCGAGAGCCUGACCGAGGGUACUUGAAGAAAAAGCAUCGGCUAACUCCGUGCCAGCAGCCGCGGUAAUCCGGAGGAUGCGAGCGUUAUCCGGAUUUAUUGGGGUUAAAGGGUGCGUGGGCGGACCGUUACGUCAGCGGGAAAAGCCCGGGGUGCAACCCCGGCGAGCCGUUGAAACUGGCUGUCUUGAGAUGUCGAGAGGUAUGCGGAAUGCGCAGUGUAGCGGUGAAAUGCUUAGAUAUUGCGCAGAACUCCGAUUGCGAAGGCAGCAUACCGGCGGCGAUCUGACGCUGAGGCACGAAAGCGUGGGUAUCGAACAGGAUUAGAUACCCCAGUAGUC
rnacentral:rRNA from 1 species